rnacentral:sRNA from 1 species
GCUGGGCAUGGUAGCGCAUGCCUGUAAUCCCAGGAGCUCGGGAGGCUGAGGCAGGGGGAUCACANUUCAGAGGGGAAAAGAAGAGAUUUCUCUAUUAGAAAAAGACCAGCCUUUU